rnacentral:rRNA from 1 species
GUGAGGAAUUUUCCGCAAUGGGCGAAAGCCUGACGGAGCAAUGCCGCGUGAAGGAUGAAGGCCUAUGGGUUGUAAACUUCUUUUCUCAGAAAAGAAUUAUGACGGUAUCUGAGGAAUAAGCAUCGGCUAACUCUGUGCCAGCAGCCGCGGUAAGACAGAGGAUGCAAGCGUUAUCCGGAAUGAUUGGGCGUAAAGCGUCUGUAGGUUGUUUAAAAAGUAUUCUGUCAAAGAUUAGGGCUUAACCCUAGAUAGGCAGAAUAAACUUUUAAGCUAGAGUUUGGUAGAGGCAGAGGGAAUGCCCGGGGGAGCGGUGAAAUGCGUAGAUAUCGGGAGGAACACCAAAGGCGAAGGCACGCUGCUGGGCCAAUACUAACACUGAGAGACGAAAGCGAGGGGAGCAAAUGGGAUUAGAAACCCGGGUAGUCC